rnacentral:rRNA from 1 species
ACGAACGCUGGCGGCGUGCCUAAUACAUGCAAGUCGAACGCUUCUUUUUCCACCGGAGCUUGCUCCACCGGAAAAAGAGGAGUGGCGAACGGGUGAGUAACACGUGGGUAACCUGCCCAUCAGAAGGGGAUAACACUUGGAAACAGGUGCUAAUACCGUAUAACAAUCGAAACCGCAUGGUUUUGAUUUGAAAGGCGCUUUCGGGUGUCGCUGAUGGAUGGACCCGCGGUGCAUUAGCUAGUUGGUGAGGUAACGGCUCACCAAGGCGACGAUGCAUAGCCGACCUGAGAGGGUGAUCGGCCACAUUGGGACUGAGACACGGCCCAAACUCCUACGGGAGGCAGCAGUAGGGAAUCUUCGGCAAUGGACGAAAGUCUGACCGAGCAACGCCGCGUGAGUGAAGAAGGUUUUCGGAUCGUAAAACUCUGUUGUUAGAGAAGAACAAGGAUGAGAGUAACUGUUCAUCCCUUGACGGUAUCUAACCAGAAAGCCACGGCUAACUACGUGCCAGCAGCCGCGGUAAUACGUAGGUGGCAAGCGUUGUCCGGAUUUAUUGGGCGUAAAGCGAGCGCAGGCGGUUUCUUAAGUCUGAUGUGAAAGCCCCCGGCUCAACCGGGGAGGGUCAUUGGAAACUGGGAGACUUGAGUGCAGAAGAGGAGAGUGGAAUUCCAUGUGUAGCGGUGAAAUGCGUAGAUAUAUGGAGGAACACCAGUGGCGAAGGCGGCUCUCUGGUCUGUAACUGACGCUGAGGCUCGAAAGCGUGGGGAGCAAACAGGAUUAGAUACCCUGGUAGUCCACGCCGUAAACGAUGAAUGCUAGGUGUUGGAGGGUUUCCGCCCUUCAGUGCCGCAGCUAACGCAAUAAGCAUUCCGCCUGGGGAGUACGACCGCAAGGUUGAAACUCAAAGGAAUUGACGGGGGCCCGCACAAGCGGUGGAGCAUGUGGUUUAAUUCGAAGCAACGCGAAGAACCUUACCAGGUCUUGACAUCCUUUGACCACUCUAGAGAUAGAGCUUCCCCUUCGGGGGCAAAGUGACAGGUGGUGCAUGGUUGUCGUCAGCUCGUGUCGUGAGAUGUUGGGUUAAGUCCCGCAACGAGCGCAACCCUUAUUGUUAGUUGCCAUCAUUUAGUUGGGCACUCUAGCAAGACUGCCGGUGACAAACCGGAGGAAGGUGGGGAUGACGUCAAAUCAUCAUGCCCCUUAUGACCUGGGCUACACACGUGCUACAAUGGGAAGUACAACGAGUCGCAAAGUCGCGAGGCUAAGCUAAUCUCUUAAAGCUUCUCUCAGUUCGGAUUGUAGGCUGCAACUCGCCUACAUGAAGCCGGAAUCGCUAGUAAUCGCGGAUCAGCACGCCGCGGUGAAUACGUUCCCGGGCCUUGUACACACCGCCCGUCACACCACGAGAGUUUGUAACACCCGAAGUCGGUGAGGUAACCUUUUGGAGCCAGCCGCCUAAGGUGGGAUAGAUGAUUGGGGUG